AAGAGGCCACAGCACUGGGCGGGACCUCUGGGUCCCAGUCCUGGUGCUCCUGUGCUGCCUGUCACCUCCUGAUCACUGCCUCUUCUUUGCCAGGAGCUGCCCAUGGGGCCACUGGGUGCUGCCAGCUGCUUAAAGCUGUCCCAUGACUCCACACAGAAUUAGCUCCUGUAGCCUGCACACAGCCUGCACCGGCCCAGAUCUUGUCGACUUAAUUAGCUAUGGACAUUUUUUAUGGCUUCUCUAGGAAUAGAAAGAUCUGCUUACUCCUCUUACAGGGUCAGGAAGGAGCAGCCCUGCAGGUGUCAAAACCUCUAGCGGCUGUUUGGCCGCCCACCUGCUACCUCAGGCCACUGUGUCCUUUGCUGCUGCAGCAAGGGCUUGAGCCUGGGGUCAGGGCUGAUUCAGACCCGGACCCCACUAAGCAGUGGCUGUGUGACCUCCAGCCUGCGUAGGGGCCAGCAGGCGCCAUGGAGAAGCCCUGGGCCACGGGAGCCCACAUCUGCGUCACGUGACCGGGACAGGGGGACUCUCAGUCAGGCUGCAUGGAAGCUGGUUGUUCUGUUCUGCUUUAAUCCUGGAUCAUCAGAUAAGAGAAGGCUGGAACGGCGUUGUCACACAAAUCUGCACAGGAAGCUUCUGAUUGUGGAUCGAACUCGUGACCUUACGCUUGUAUGGCAGGCGGUGGAACCACUGAGCUAAAUCCGGGGCCCAGCAUUGCCUCUCUUGAUGUUGAUUUCUGGGCGGCUACAUCUUGCCAAUUACUUCCUCCCCUACACUUUACAGCUAUAAACUUGGAAACCCACCUUUGGCUUCCCUAGAAAUCCACCAAUACAAGGGACUGAACCCAGAGGCACGACAACCCUGCUGGUGAUGCUCAUCUCGAGAUGGGGGUCUCCCUGUGGCCCAGGCCGGCUUCUCCCUGCAACCUCCCACUUCUGGAGCCGCGUUUCAGCCCCAGGGGCCUCUGGGGCCCACGUGCAGGACCUGGCAGGGGCACAGCCUGUGCUCGGGCACUGUCCCUGCGCUCUUCUCUGUGUGGUGAGCCGCCCGAGGCUGUCCUGUGACUCGCGCCUGCCUCCAUGCGCAUCCUCAGUGGCCACACACUGCCUCUGCCCUGCUGCAGCCACAGGGUGGGUGCUCCGUGGCCCAUUGUGCGCCCUCCUGUGGGGCAGCCACUGCCCUCCCAGCUCCGCUUCCUGGCUCUGGCUCCGCUUGCCAAGGCUUUUCACAAACCCCCUCUGCCAGCCUCCUCCCUGCAGGCUGUGGUGGGAAUCUGUGGGUAACUGGCUUUGCACCCAGGGCCAAGCUAGACCCUGUCCAUCACCUGUCCAGUGCUCCUGCCUGACGCCCUCCCCUCCUCUCUCUUCCAGUACUGGGAGUGAACCCGGUAUACAGCAGCCCCGCUUUGAUUUUGGUUUUUUGGGACUAGGUCUCACUAUGUCGCUGAGUUGCCCAGGCUAACUGACUGGAGAGCCUCCUGCCUCAGUGUCCUAGAGUCCCGGAAUUACAACUGUGUGACUCCACAACCAGCUCUUUUCAGGGGUGUCUGUGCAGGGGAGGAGGGGCUCUCCCUCAGGGCCAGGCACGGUCGUGACUUCACAAAAGACCCUGGGUUUCCCCCAUCCCGGCUCACCCUGCGGCUCGCCCAUCAGCACACAACCUGUGUCUGACCCAGGAGUCUCGCCAGUAUGCACGUGGCUGCCACAGGUGUGACAGGUUCACCUUUCCGGUGCCCAGCCACGGCCAUGCCCUGUCCGGGCAGCAGUCCUAACCUCACCACUCCCGUCUUCCCCAGCAUCUGGCGCUGCAGCUCUCUCCGAUGUGGUCUUCAGAGGGCUGCUCCAGCAGAGGCGCUCAGAGGCCUCUCCGCUAGAGGCUGUGCAGCAACCCUGCCACUCCACAGACACCAGUGACCUCCGCCUGGGAGAAACGAGGCCUUACUCUGGGAGGCUGGGGCAGGAGGAUCAUCUUGAGUUUGAGGCCAGCCUGGGCUACACAGUGAAU